UACGGAGGGUGCAAGCGUUGUCCGGAAUCACUGGGCGUAAAGGGCGCGUAGGCGGCUCAUGAAGGCUGUGGUGAAAGUCCGGGGCUCAACCUCGGAUCGGCCGUGGCGACUCGUGGGCUGGAGCACUGUAGAGGCGGGUGGAAUUCCGGGUGUAGCGGUGGAAUGCGUAGAGAUCCGGAAGAACACCAGUGGCGAAGGCGGCCCGCUGGGCAGUGGCUGACGCUGACGGCGCGACAGCGUGGGGAGCAAACGAGG
rnacentral:rRNA from 1 species